rnacentral:rRNA from 1 species
GAUGAACGCUGGCGGUAUGCUUAACACAUGCAAGUCGAACGGACUCUUCGGAGUUAGUGGCGGACGGGUGUGUAACGCGUGGGAAUCUGGCUUUAGGUUCGGGACAACCACUGGAAACGGUGGCUAAUACCGGAUGUGCCGAGCGAUAAAAGAGAAAUUGCCUGAAGAUUAGGUCGCGUCUGAUUAGCUAGUUGGGGAGGUAAAGGCUCACUAAGGCAGCGAGCAGUAGCUGGUCUGAGCGGAUGCCCAGCCACACCUCGACUGGGAGGCGGCCCAGGCGCCUACGGGACGCAGCAGUGGAGAAUGUUCCGGAAAUGCCGAGUGCGUGACGAAGCACUACCGCGUGUAAGAACAAGGCUCUGGGGUUGUAAAGCUCUUGUCUAAUGGAAGACCAUAAUGACGGUACCUAAGGAAUCAGCACCGGCUAACUCCGUG